rnacentral:rRNA from 1 species
GACGAACGCUGGCGGCGUGCUUAACACAUGCAAGUCGAACGGAAAGGCCCUGCUUUUGUGGGGUGCUCGAGUGGCGAACGGGUGAGUAACACGUGAGUAACCUGCCCUUGACUUUGGGAUAACUUCAGGAAACUGGGGCUAAUACCGGAUAGGAGCUCCUGCUGCAUGGUGGGGGUGGGAAAGUUUCGGCGGUUGGGGAUGGACUCGCGGCUUAUCAGCUUGUUGGUGGGGUAGUGGCUUACCAAGGCUUUGACGGGUAGCCGGCCUGGGAGGGUGACCGGCCACAUUGGGACUGAGAUACGGCCCAGACUCCUACGGGAGGCAGCAGUGGAGAAUAUUGCACAAUGGGCGGAAGCCUGAUGCAGCAACGCCGCGUGCGGGAUGACGGCCUUCGGGUUGUAAACCGCUUUCGCCUGUGACGAAGCGUGAGUGACGGUAAUGGGUAAAGAAGCACCGGCUAACUACGUG